rnacentral:rRNA from 1 species
AACGAACGCUGGCGGCAUGCCUAACACAUGCAAGUCGAACGAGACCUUCGGGUCUAGUUGCGCACGGGUGCGUAACGCGUGGGAACCUGCCCUUAGGUUCGGAAUAACUCCCCGAAAGGGGUGCUAAUACCGGAUAAUGUCUUCGGACCAAAGAUUUAUCGCCUUUGGAUGGGCCCGCGUUGGAUUAGCUAGUUGGUAGGGUAAAAGCCUACCAAGGCGACGAUCCAUAGCUGGUCUGAGAGGAUGAUCAGCCACACUGGGACUGAGACACGGCCCAGACUCCUACGGGAGGCAGCAGUGGGGGAUAUUGGAAUAUGGGCGAAAGCAUGAUGCAGCUAUGCUGGGUGAGUGAUGAAGGCGUUAGGGUUGUAAAGCUCUUUUACCCGGGAUGAUAAUGACAGUACCGGGAGAAUAAGCUCCGGCUAACUCCGUG